UAAUACCGGAUGUGGCACCCUGCGAUUGCGGGGAAGCUAAGGAUUUAUUCACUUCCCGAGGGGCUCGCGGCCCAUCAGCUUGUUGGUGAGGGUAACGGCCCACCAAGGCGACAACGGGUAGCUGGUCUGAGAGGAUGGUCAGCCACACUGGAACUGAGACACGGUCCAAACACCUACGGGUGGCACAGUCGAGAAUCAUUCGCAAUGGGGGAAACCCUGACAUCGACGCCGCGUGGAGGAUGAAGGCCUUAGGGUUGUAAACUCCUGUCAGAGGGAAUAAGCAAGUGAAGGUACCUCUAGAGGACGGGGCGGCUAAUUCCGUGCCAGCAGCCGCGGUAACACGGAAGCCCCGAGCGUUGUUCGGAUUCAUUGGGCGUAAAGGGUGCGUAGGCGGUGCGGAAAGUCCGGCGUGAAAGGCAGGGGCUCAACCUCUGGACUGCGUUGGAUACUUCCGUGCUUGAGGACUGGAGGGGAGACUGGAAUUCACGGUGUAGCAGUGAAAUGCGUAGAUAUCGAGAGGAAGACCGGUGGCGAAGGCGAGUCUCUGGACAGAUCCUGACGCUGAGGCACGAAGGCUGGGGGAGCGAACAGGAUUAGAUACCCUGGUAGUCCCAGCAGUAAACGAUGUGAGCUUGAUGUGGGGGGAUUCGACCCCUUCCGUGUCGAAGCUAACGCGAUAAGCUCACCGCCUGAGGAGUACGGCCGCAAGGCUAAAACUCAAAGAAAUUGACGGGGACCCGCACAAGCGGUGGAGUAUGUGGCUUAAUUCGAUGCAACGCGAAGAACCUUACCUGGCCUUGACAUGCAUUGUGUCGUCGGUGAAAGCCGGCUAGUCCUGGAAACAGGACGCUUUGCACAGGUGCUGCAUGGCUGUCGUCAGCUCGUGUCGUGAGAUGUUGGGUUAAGUCCCGCAACGAGCGCAACCCUUGUGGUCAGUUACUAACCGGCUUAGCCGGAGGACUCUGGCCAGACUGCCCUGUCAAACGGGGAGGAAGGUGGGGACGACGUCAAGUCAGUAUGGCCCUUAUGGCCAGGGCUGCACACGUACUACAAUGCCCGGUACAAUGUGAACCGAAACCGCGAGGUGGAGGAAAUC
rnacentral:rRNA from 1 species